GUUAUGGCAUGGUGGUUCCCCCGUUUCCUCCCUCUCCAUAUGUCGAUGCCCCGGGCUACAUCAUGCCUCACACCCAGUUACACCUGGUGGACUACAGACGCAUGAUGAACCCACAUAUGGCUCCAACCGUGGCAUACCAGGCUCGCCGCUUCCGCUAUCAACAUGCCAACACACGGGUGAUGAUUAGCUCAGAAGUUCAAACCGAACCAACUCUUGGCCAAGGCCAGAUGCCCAUCCACAGCACCGCUAAUGGUGUGUCAAAUGGCCCAACUAGUUCGGAGUCUGGCAUUGGCAGACACUACACCUCGGCCUCAACCUCAACCUCAACCACAACAUCCACAUCUUUGUCAUCCACUGAGAUGAAGACCCCUGAGCGCUUGGAGCCAGUGGUAAAGGCCAUGUCACGGCAACAGCCAGCAGCACCUUUGUUGACUCUGCAACUCCACGAACCACUGUCAUCCAAGACCACAUUCUGUUCCAGACUGAGGAGGUACAGGUCAAGCACAGUGGGACGGUAGUGGACUUGAAGAUUGCCCAUUGUGAAGAGACUGCAAACUGGUGUCCGACUUUAAUAGUGGUUGCUAGACUGUAGUACUGUACCCCCAUACUUGGUGGAUGGAGCACUCCAGAAGCGCUUACCUUCACCUCAGCCAGAAGAGCUCACGGAAGGAGAUGAAGAGAGGAGCGCUCCGGCUGAAUUGGGGCUGCCUACCCUGAGGAGCCAUGCCUGCCCUCUUGCCCAGACAUUCUCCUGACGGGAGCUUCAUCUACUGGCACCAAUGAGUCAUUACCUCCAACAGAGGAGACAUCUUCAGAAGAUGCUCUAAAUGCAGAUGCUAUAGAUACAGCCAUGACUGAUCAAGCUAAAAAUGUUAUCGCGGAUUUGAGCUCCUCAGUGGUGGCUUGUGGAGACUCCCAAAUGGUGUCUAAAGAUGACCUGAACGAGGAUGAUCAUGACCUUCUCCCCAACAGCAGUAACCCACAGUUCAAGAUUCUACACCUUGGGGAACGUGAUCUGCAGUUUGGGGAAGUGCAGCACCUGGAGACAUCUGUGUGGUCGGUCGAGUCACUGAUGCCGUAUGUGCCCAACACUGAGUGGCUGAUCCAGAACGGCCUAAUGACCCCCAAGAAGUCCCAAGAAGUCCCCCUGAGUCCCGUGAUCGAGGACCCCAUGAGUCCAACCCAAACGGCUGAUUUCUACUCCCUGCAGGAGAGACAGGCUAUCAUAGGAGUUGAACCUGACUCUCAUGACUCCAUGACUUCCUUGGAGUCCUUGCCAACAUAUCUCCCUUCAGCUAGUUGGCUGGCAGACUUUGGGAACGUCUACCUCUACCACAAGUUUCAACCCAAUGUUCGGCAACAGCUCAGCAUUUACGGGAACCUCCCUCUAGAUGAGCCUAGUCAAGAUGUCAAAGGUGGGCAGCCUGUAUCCCAGAGCUCAGGAGCUCCUCCUUCAAGACGCAGAGAGGAGAGUAGCGGGCACAAAAGGAGGACUGGAGCACCCAGUGAUGUGUCUGACCAUGAGAGUCAAGCCAUGUCUUCCCAGGGGGGAGGCCAUCUGUCCCCUCACCAGGGGCACUGCGUCUGUAACCACUCUUUAACCAAACGUAGUGCAGCUCCCUCAAGUCCCACUCCUAGUAUGAAGCGCCACAAGCUUCCUCACCCCCAGCGAGACGCUGCCAAAUCCUCAUCCUUUCCAAGUUGCAAGUGUGUUCCUGGUCGGGCAAAAUCCCCAAUCAAAGGAUCUGGCUCAGAUGUACCUGGGCGCCUGAAUGAGGAGGAUGACACAACUGAGGGAGAGACCUCUGAAAAUAGUAUUUUUUCCCUCACAGGGUCAAAGAGGGCUAAUGGUGGGCAAAAGAGGGCCUCCGAAUCCAGGAAGACCCAUCACCUCAGCCGGCACUCUGAGAAGUGCCCUGGGGCCCAGAGGCCCAAGCUCCGGGAGCAGAACUGCUCAUGUGAUGAGCCCAAAAGCACUCACUCUUUCUCUGGGCCAAGGGAUGGCAAUGGACAUAAUCAACAUAAUGCCUUUGGCUGGCGAAGGGGUGAGGUGGACUCGGUGAUGGCCGGCACAGAGCGACACAGGGUGGCACAGAAGGGAUGUGUGCAGAAAUACCAGGCUGAGAGGACAUGGAGAGGACCACUGACCCAUGAUUCAGCACCCACCAAGGGUGCGACCAAUCAGAAGAAACCAUAUUCACCGUCACAAGGAAAUCACAGAACCACACGUUGCUGAUUAACACUUAACCCACAUGAAAUGGCGUGAAAGCACUUUUUAAUCACAGUGUUCAUUAUUUAAUUUAAUCUCUUUUUGAAAAGAAUCUUAUUGUUCACAAUUUCACUCACAUUUUACAAUAAAUUAAACACUUUUU
rnacentral:lncRNA from 1 species